rnacentral:rRNA from 1 species
UCCGCAGGGGCCUGCCAAGUCUGUCGUGAAAUCCCGGGGCUCAACCCCGGGUCUGCGGUGGAAACAGGCGGGCUGGAGUGUGUGAGGGGUAGACGGAACACCUGGUGUAGCGGUGGAAUGCGUGGAUAUCAGGUGGAACACCGAUGGCGAAGGCGGUCUACUGGCACACAACUGACCCUCAGGGACGAAAGCGUGGGUAGCAAACA